CCAUUAGAGGAAGUAAAAGUCGUAACAAGGUUUCCGUAGGUGAACCUGCGGAAGGAUCAUUAAAAGUAAUAUAUAUUCAUUCGAAUAUACAUUUCUAACCCCUUGUCUAAACCACCUGUUGCUUCCGGCUGUUUGGGCUGUAUAGUUAGCUGUAUAGCCUGGCCGGAAGGUUAACAUAAAAUAUUGUAUUUAGAGUCUUCUGAAUUUUAAAAUAAAAGUUAAAACUUUCAACAACGGAUCUCUUGGUUCUCGCAUCGAUGAAGAACGCAGCGAAAUGCGAUAAGUAGUGUGAAUUGCAGAAUUCAGUGAAUCAUCGAAUCUUUGAACGCACAUUGCGCCUUCCGGUAUUCCGGAAGGCAUGCCUGUCCGAGCGUCAUCAAAAACCACUCAAGUAGUUUUGCUUGGUUAUGAAAGAAGAGUUUGCUUGCGAAUUCCCUUUCGAAAUUCAAUGGCGGAGGGUCUCAUGAUUCCGGCGUAGUAAUAACUUAUUCGCUUGGUCAUUGUGACAAUCCUGCCUCAAACCCCCAAUUCUAGUGUUUGACCUCGGAUCAGGUAGGGAUACCCGCUGAACUUAAGCAUAUCAUAGGCCGGAAGGAA
rnacentral:rRNA from 1 species